CAGAAUGUAGUUUAUUAUAAAAUAUUAUAUUUGGGUUAUGAAGAAGGAGAGUUCUGA
rnacentral:tRNA from 1 species